AUUGAACGCUGGCGGCAGGCCUAACACAUGCAAGUCGAACGAGUGGCGGACGGGUGAGUAAUGUUUGGGAAACCGCCCGAUGGAGGGGGAUAACUACUGGAAACGGUAGCUAAUACCGCAUACCAUCGGAUGUGCCCAGAUGGGAUUAGCUAGUUGGUGUGGUAACGGCUCACCUAGGCGACGAUCCCUAGCUGGUCUGAGAGGAUGACCAGCCACACUGGAACUGAGACACGGCCAAGACUCCGACGGGAGCCAGCAGUGGGGAAUAGUGCGCAAUGGGCGCAAGCCUGAUGCAGCCAUGCCGCGUGGAUGAAGAAGUCCUUCGGGUUGUAAAGUUCUUUCGGCGAGGAGGCGUUACCUGCAGAAGAAGCACCGGCUAACUCCGUGCCAGCAGCCGCGGUAAUUC
rnacentral:rRNA from 1 species